CCUAGGCCCGGCCCGCUUUGGCCUUACCGGGCCCUGAGCUAUGGGCCGUUACCACGGCAACCACCCCGCGAACGGCGGCGGGAGGAGGCCAGUCGGAAGUUUCUCCUGGCUCGCAUGUCGUCAUCACGCACGUAGAAGAACGCGCGGCCGUGCUGUGAAUCAUCUUAUCUUGGGAAGGGAGGCAGAGAGGAGGACCGAACAGUCAGGUGAAGAGGAAUCCUGACCGUCAGGGAUCAAAAAGCCCAAACUGGACUUCAUGCAGAGAAAUGGAAAACAUCUACAGCCAAGAGAACACAAUCACAUGAUCUCUGCUUACAGCAGAUAAGACAUGGGUUAAAGGAGCAAGCCUGAUGAGGUCAUCAUGCUGCAUCAGCUACAAGAGACUUAAUAAAGGGCCAACAAAAGAGAAAAGGUAGCAAGAUGUUCUUAUUUCAAAUUAGAGCAACUUCAGGAGAAAGCCAACUAUUCCAUCUUCCUUUCUAGUUGGAUUAUCAACAUAGCCAGGAUUUGUUCAGCCUGUAAAGAAACAGAGCUCGUGGAUGACAAGAUGAAGUGGUAGGAGACUGGACAAAGCUGGUUACUCACCCCUCUGUCAUAACUAUCUGCUCUCUCCACCUUCCAUGAGAGAUUUUCUAUUUCUGCUUCCAGCUGAGCCUGUUGAUAUUCAAACUGAAAACACAAAAACAGAUUGUUGGGAUAACAGAUAUAGAAACAGCUGCUCCUAUCAUACUCAUCCUACCCUAAAUCUGCUGCACCAAGAAACAUGUAUUACCAUUCACAUCAGAAGGCACUUCCGGAAAAAAAAUGAAAUACAGCAGCAGAGAGUUUUUCUGUAUCUGAUGUGCAACAGAAUGAGCACUAGAAAGGUACUGGACUCAAAGCUGGGCAAAUUCCCAGUUAAUAACUCCCUAUGUGAAAACUUGAGAGUAUUCAUCAAGGGUUAUGUGGAUGACAGAAUUUGGAAUUGUUUAAAAAGACUUUUCUAAAGACUGCUAGAAGAACCUUUCAACACUGAAAGCUGUUCAAAAAGGGGAGAGCUGUUAUGUGCUAGCAGAAUAAGAUGUACUACAAAGUUAAGGUUUUCUAUAGGAUUGCAGCACCAAUGUGUACGGGGGUGUGGAGUUGUAGCUACCGGGGUCAUUGCCACCAACCCCGAGCUGCCCUGACUUUGCCACCACCUUGCUCUAUCCUGGCAAGCACAGCUUUGCCAUCAGGAGGACGCCGCUGUCACUCUAACCCAGUGGUUCUCAAACGGUGCACCCAGGCACACUGGUGCGCCGUAAGAGGUGGCCAGGUGUGCCUCAAAUAUUAUGAAAGUAUAUUUUAAAAAUGAGAAGAAACCCAUUUGUAUAGGGUAAGUAAUAGUUUUCUAUAGUUUAAGUUAUUUUUAUUCAUAGUUUAAAAUAUAUUAAUAUAUUUUUAAUUUUGUACACAAAGUGCGCCAGAAAUUUUUUAUAUGUUUUACAGUGUGCCAUGAACCAAAAAAGUUUGAGAACCACUGCUCUAACCCCUUACAAUUCACUGCUGCUUUUGCAUAUUGACAAAAUUUGGAAGAUUAAUGAAUAAAGCUUAAGCAACA